rnacentral:rRNA from 1 species
GAUGAACGCUGGCGGCGUGCCUAAUACAUGCAAGUCGAGCGAACGGACGAGAAGCUUGCUUCUCUGAUGUUAGCGGCGGACGGGUGAGUAACACGUGGAUAACCUACCUAUAAGACUGGGAUAACUUCGGGAAACCGGAGCUAAUACCGGAUAAUAUUUUGAACCGCAUGGUUCAAAAGUGAAAGAAGGUCUUGCUGUCACUUAUAGAUGGAUCCGCGCUGCAUUAGCUAGUUGGUAAGGUAACGGCUUACCAAGGCAACGAUGCAUAGCCGACCUGAGAGGGUGAUCGGCCACACUGGAACUGAGACACGGUCCAGACUCCUACGGGAGGCAGCAGUAGGGAAUCUUCCGCAAUGGGCGAAAGCCUGACGGGGCAACGCCGCGUGAGUGAUGAAGGUCUUCGGAUCGUAAAACUCUGUUAUUAGGGAAGAACAUAUGUGUAAGUAACUGUGCACAUCUUGACGGUACCUAAUCAGAAAGCCACGGCUAACUACGUG